rnacentral:misc_RNA from 1 species
GAUGAAGAACGUAGCGAAAUGCGAUAAGUAAUGUGAAUUGCAGAAUUCCGUGAAUCAUCGAAUCUUUGAACGCACGUUGCGCCCUCUGGUAUUCCGGGGGGCAUGCCUGUCCGAGCGUCAUUUGCAACCCUCAAGCCCGGCUUGUGUGAUGGGUGCCGUCCCCUACGGGACGCGCCCCGAAGGCAAUGGCGGCGUCGCGGUUAUCCGAUCAGCCAAAGUGUAUGGGGCUUUGUCACUCACUUUACGGCCCGGACCGGCGCCAGUCCGAAUCAAUCUUUUUUCUAAAGUUGACCUCGGAUCAGGUAGGGAUACCCGCUGAACUUAAGCAUAUCAAUAAGCGGAGGA